UGCUAUGGCUCAGCAGGUAGAGCGUCGCCUUGGUAAGGCGGAGGUCACGGGUUCAAAUCCCGUUAGCA
rnacentral:tRNA from 1 species